AAUCUCAUUCAAACGACGACACCUCCAACAGUGCCAGAGCCCUUCAGUGCUACACUGCAAUGUUAACCCAGAGUUGUGAAGUUUGAACCAUGACCCUGUUGACUGCAAUGCACAGAUGGACAGCUAAGCAAGUGCCAAUUUCCCUUGCCAAGGGGUUAACAGUGGCGGUAGUGAGGCACCUGUGUCUGAGUGGCUUGCUCGGCCAUUUUGGAGGAGAGUUGACAAUCAACCACAUCUCUGCAGGUCUGAAGUGACGUGUAGGUUAGACCAGAUUUUCAUAGAAUCCCUACAGUGUGGAAGCAGGCCAUUUGGUGCAUCAUGUCCACAUCAACCCAGAAAAGAUUAUCCUGCCCCAUCUACCAUAUCCCUGCCUUUUCCAUGGCUGAGCUACCUAACCUGCACAUCCCUGAACACUAUGGACAAUUUUGCACAGCCAAUUCACCCUGACCUGCACAUCUUUGGA